rnacentral:rRNA from 1 species
AUUGAACGCUGGCGGCAGGCCUAACACAUGCAAGUCGAGCGGAUGAAGGGAGCUUGCUCCUGGAUUCAGCGGCGGACGGGUGAGUAAUGCCUAGGAAUCUGCCUGGUAGUGGGGGAUAACGUCCGGAAACGGGCGCUAAUACCGCAUACGUCCUGAGGGAGAAAGUGGGGGAUCUUCGGACCUCACGCUAUCAGAUGAGCCUAGGUCGGAUUAGCUAGUUGGUGGGGUAAAGGCCUACCAAGGCGACGAUCCGUAACUGGUCUGAAAGGAUGAUCAGUCACACUGGAACUGAGACACGGUCCAGACUCCUACGGGAGGCAGCAGUGGGGAAUAUUGGACAAAGGGCGAAAGCCUGAUCCAGCCAUGCCGCGUGUGUGAAGAAGGUCUUCGGAUUGUAAAGCACUUUAAGUUGGGAGGAAGGGCAGUAAGUUAAUACCUUGCUGUUUUGACGUUACCAACAGAAUAAGCACCGGCUAACUUCGUG